rnacentral:rRNA from 1 species
GUGUCAGCCGCCGCGGUAAUACGGAGGGGGCUAGCGUUGUUCGGAAUUACUGGGCGUAAAGCGCACGUAGGCGGAUCGGAAAGUUGGGGGUGAAAUCCCGGGGCUCAACCCCGGAACUGCCUUCAAAACUGUCGGUCUUGAGUUCGAGAGAGGUGAGUGGAAUUCCGAGUGUAGAGGUGAAAUUCGUAGAUAUUCGGAGGAACACCAGUGGCGAAGGCGGCUCACUGGCUCGAUACUGACGCUGAGGUGCGAAAGUGUGGGGAGCAAACAGGAUUAGAUACCCUGGUAGUCCACACCGUAAACGAUGAAGGCCAGUCGUCGGGCAGCAUGCUGUUCGGUGACACACCUAACGGAUUAAGCAUUCCGCCUGGGGAGUACGGCCGCAAGGUUAAAACUCAAAGGAAUUGACGGGG